GAGUUUGAUCUUGGCUCAGGAUGAACGCUGGCGGCGUGCUUAACACAUGCAAGUCGAGCGAAGCAUUUAAGUGGAUUCCUUCGGGAUGAAGGUUUUAUGACUUAGCGGCGGACGGGUGAGUAACGCGUGGGCAACCUGCCCCAUACCGGGGGAUAACAGCCGGAAACGGCUGCUAAUACCGCAUAAGCGCACGGUACCGCAUGGUACAGUGUGAAAAACUCCGGUGGUAUGGGAUGGGCCCGCGUUGGAUUAGCUAGUUGGCAGGGUAAAGGCCUACCAAGGCGACGAUCCAUAGCCGGCCUGAGAGGGUGGACGGCCACAUUGGGACUGAGACACGGCCCAAACUCCUACGGGAGGCAGCAGUGGGGAAUAUUGCACAAUGGGGGAAACCCUGAUGCAGCGACGCCGCGUGAAGGAAGAAGUAUCUCGGUAUG
rnacentral:rRNA from 1 species